rnacentral:rRNA from 1 species
ACUGUGCCUGGUGUUUAUUGAUCAGUUUUCUGUUGCCUCGGUAGCAGUGACUGAUGAGUUUACUUUGAAUAAAUCAGAGUGCUCAAAACAGGCGCAAGCUUGUAUGAUUUUGCAUGGAAUAAUAGAACAAGACGUUGGUUUUGUUUUAUUGGUUUUCGGAACCAAUGUAAUGAUUAAAAGGAACAAACGGGGGCAUUUGUAUCGCUGCGUGAGAGGUGAAAUUCGUGGACCGUAGCGAGACGAACUACCGCGAAGGCAUUUGCCAAGAAUGUUUUCAUUAAUCAAGAACGAAAGUCAGGGGAUCGAAGGCGAUCAGAUACCGCCCUAGUCCUGACCGUAAACUAUGCCAUCUAGCGAGUUUCGAGUGGAUUCUUUUGCCCUUGAAACGAGCUUCCCGGAAACGAAAGUCUUUCGGUUCCGGGGGAAGUAUGGUUGCAAAGCUGAAACUUAAAGGGAUUGACGGAAGGUCACCACCAGAAAUGGGGCCUGCGGUUUAAUUUGACUCAACACGGGAAAACUCACCCGGUCCGGACACUAUAAGGAUUGACAGACUGAUAGCUCUUUCAUGAUUUGGUGGUUGGUGGUGCAUGGCCGUUCUUACUUCGUGGAGUGAUUUGUCUGGUUUAUUCCGAUAACGAACGAGAUUAUAGCCUAGUUAAAUAGAUGACUCCUUAUUUUGGGAGUCAGUCUUCUUAUCGGGAUCUGCGGUUUCUAACCGUACGAAACUUAGCAAUAACAGGUCUGUGAUGCCCUUAGAUGUCCGGGGCUACACGCGCGCCACAAUGGACUGUUCAGUCCGUUGUGCCCAUCCUCGAUAGAGGUUGGUAAGCGUGUCAAAUUAGUCCGUAUUUGGGCUCGGA